rnacentral:rRNA from 1 species
CCCCGGGCUUAACCUGGGAACUGCNUUUGAAACUUUUAGGCUAGAGUAGGUGAGAGGGAAGUAGAAUUUCAGGUGUAGCGGUGAAAUGCGUAGAGAUNUGAAGGAAUACCGAUGGGGAAGGCAGCUUCCUGGCAUCAUACUGACACUGAGGCUCGAAAGCGUGGGUAGCAAACAGGAUUAGAUACCCUGGUAGUCCACGCCGUAAACGAUGUCUACUAGUCGUUGGGUCCCUUGAGGACUUAGUGACGCAGCUAACGCAAUAAGUAGACCGCCUGGGGAGUACGGCCGCAAGGUUAAAACUCAAAUGAAUUGACGGGGGCCCGCACAAGCGGUGGAGCAUGUGGUUUAAUUCGAUGCAACGCGAAGAACCUUACCUGGUCUUGACAUAUCUAGAAUCCUGCAGAGAUGCGGGAGUGCCUUCGGGAAUUAGAAUACAGGUGCUGCAUGGCUGUCGUCAGCUCGUGUCGUGAGAUGUUGGGUUAAGUCCCGCAACGAGCGCAACCCUUGUCCUUAGUUACCAGCGGGUUAAGCCGGGAACUCUAAGGAUACUGCCAGUGACAAACUGGAGGAAGGCGGGGACGACGUCAAGUCAUCAUGGCCCUUACGACCAGGGCUACACACGUGCUACAAUGGUAGGUACAGAGGGCAGCUACACAGCGAUGUGAUGCGAAUCUCAAAAAGCCUAUCGUAGUCCAGAUUGGAGUCUGCAACUCGACUCCAUGAAGUAGGAAUCGCUAGUAAUCGCGGAUCAGAAUGCCGCGGUGAAUACGUUCCCGGGCCUUGUACACACCGCCCGUCACACCAUGGGAGUUGAUUGCACCAGAAGUGGAUAGCUUAACCUUCGGGGAGGCGUUCACCACGGUGUGGUUGAUGACUGGGGUGA